UCGAAAAUCCAGUGCCGCCGCGCGGCCCACCGGCGGGGAUCGUCGCCCCGUCGGGAGAGGUCUGUUCAUUGUGGUGACAGCGGAAAGCGCUUCGUGUGAAGCGCCGGUACGCCAGAAAAAAUCUGCGUUGCGAAAAUAAUGGCUUAUAUGGAUUUAAGUGAGUUUCGAGAUUUUGGUGAACAUUAGUGACAAAGAAUGUGGUGUCCUGCAUGAUCGGGUUUCCAAUGAAAACCCCAAGGAUAACAUUUCACAAAGAGAACAUUUGAAGUGAGCAAACAAGAAGCAACGAAGCGCGAAGAGCCUUUAUGCUGUGCAAAGCUUGAGUGUAAAAUUGGAUCAUUAAUUAAUUGCGACGAAAACAGCUGAGUGUAAUUGUUUUGAAAUGGCGAUAAGCGAAAAGUGGCGCUUGCGAAACGACCACGGGCAUUCGUUUCUACGACAAAAAAUUGAGUUUUCAUCAGAUCCUGAUUUACAAUGAACUACAGCUAAGUGGAUUUUAAUAUGCAAAGGUGAAGAAGCCGGGAAUUGUCCUACGUUCCGGAUAUCACACCCAACAAAUGUGAAUGGUGAUGUAGAUCUCUGGUCGAGUUACGGAUUUGCUUGCGUAGUACGCACGGAAGAAACGAGUGCUUUUGCGACAAAAGAUGGUUCAACUGUGCACUCUUUGGUUGAGGGUCUGCGGGAUCCACGAGGAAACGUCCAGCUGCCGACGGAGAAGAAAGGUUCCAGCACGCAACGUAAGCCUGGUGAAUCCUCUGUUGCAGGUGGUUUCUAGUAGCUUCGACUUCGAUAGGAUAUCCGAGAAAGUGAUUUAAAUGAUAAUUUCAGAGAAAAAUAUGCAUUUGGUUUACAACUGGACGUCUUAUAAUAAGUUUUUGUAUUAAUAAUUUAACUGCGGAUUUUGUUUCGUUUGCGCGUAUUUUUGAUCGCUUAUUAUUAUUAUCUACUAGUGAAACAUCUUUUUAAAUUCAACAACACAAGUUGUGUGUAAAAGUGAAUCUUUUUAUGCGUUCAAGUGAUAUUGCAAAGAAACAGAAGCACGUUGAGUCCAACAUUUAGCAUAUAAGAAUAAGUGUUUUUAAUCGAGAAAAUUUAUUUUGAAAGUAAAAAGCAGCGGAAUUACGCGAUACAAAUGUACAGAAAAAUCAUUCGAGUGUAUGUGACGUCGAGCACGUUGCUUAUUGAGUUUUAUUAUUAAUUAACAGAAUUUAAUCAGAUUAUUGCCCCAAACGAACACACAUUGAAGAACUCAAACAGAAAAAGACUAAACAGUUUAAAACAUUCAGCGUAUAAUUCGUAGCAUGUAGAACGAUUGAAAAAAAAAAUUAUUGUUAUAUUAUUGUUGAACACAUUAUUGAAAAAUUAAAAUUAUGAAAUUAUUCAAAACAAAAAAAACUGUGAACAAUUUUCUCUCUCUUAAAAAAUGGAUCUUGACUAAUUGUAUUUAGAAAUUUCAGUCUCUCUCAAGCCUUUUUGUUUUUAAUAACGGACUAUUUUGAGCCUUGGUUUUCACUAUAACGUUUUCAAAGAAGGAAUCUUUUGCUAAUUUUUUCUUCUUUCAAAGGAGGAACAGGGAAUCGGCAGGUAUUCCGUCAGGCUAUUGCGCUUCGGCUUCGUUUCGGCUAAAGCCGCAAUUACUACUAUAAUGCAAUGCAUUCUAAUGACCAUAAAUAGAUAUGAAUUGAUGGAAACAUUGGAAUCUAUCCUCCUAAAGCGCUAGUUUGGUGGACAAUCUUUUUUUUAUAUGACGGCUAGCUUGGUUUUUUAAUCAAAACCAUUACUUUAGCUGUCUUUUAAAUUGGGAAAGAGAAAUGGACUCUCACAUUCCAUCAUCAGAAAGGGAAAUGGACCCUCAUAUUCCACCACGAGCUGAUUGGGAAGGGGGUGAUGCGAUGACUCUGCUUGGCCUUUGACCGAAAAGGGAGCCAUCACAUUUUUAAUUUUUGGAUAAAUGUUCGAAAGUCAUAUAAUAUGGUAGAGUUGCAGUAUUUUUCAUGUGCCAUUUUUGAAAACAACAACAUGGUACAUUUUUCUAAAAGUGGGUUUUAUAUACAACGUAUGAAAAUGUUCAUAUUGGCAUAUUAGUUUGCCAAAUUUUAAUAAGGGAAAAUAAUGAAGGAGGAUAUAAUCCUAUAGAAAGAUUUAUUAUUUGAAGAAAUAAUACUAUAUUACAGGAGAACAGUCAUGCCUCCUAUAGAAAGAAAUUAAAAGAGAUAUUACAGGAGAAGAGUCAUGCCUCCUAUAGAAAGAAAUAAAAAGAGAUAUUGCAGGAGGAGAAUUGUGCCUCCUUAAAAAGGAUAUUAUGGGAGAGGAAAACACCCUCCAGAAAAUUAAACAAAAGGGGAGUACAUUUAUAGAAUUUUGUAUGGAUCUGGAUACUUAAAGUUAUCCAAAAAGGGAAAAGUGUACAAAAAUAUUGCAAGUUCUACCAAGUUGCUAUAAAGUUUAGAACUCAACCCGCUACUUUCAAUUGAAAGUGAUCUUUUUAAGUACACUUUCAACUCAUUGGGUAGGGGGUAAUGUGACGACCCCAACUACUUAAAUUCCUUCAGGGGGAUUCGUCACAAUCUUUUAUGCGGAGUCAGUUUACCUUGGCACCGACCCGCGCUAGAAAAGAGUUUUGCGCACAGCAACAGGGUUUUGUUGUUUAAGUCUGCUUACUUUUGCUUUAUAAGCAAAAUACAGCACUUGGCAAGGUUCUAAAUGAACCGUUAUGUGUGAGAGAGUCAUUAAGUAAAGAGAGAGAGAAAAUUGUCAACAUAAAGUAGGUUAGCUGUAAGUUAAAUGUAAGUUAAUAAAGAGUCUUAUUUGUACCACCGAA